CGCUGGGUCCUGUGCGGCAGGGCACCGUGAACCCCGUCAGGGCCGGAAGGCAGCAGCGGUAAGCGAUUCGUCCUGGGUGCCACGGGGGUGCCUGGUGGCU
rnacentral:SRP_RNA from 1 species